UAAUGCUUGGGAAUCUAGCUUAUGGAGGGGGAUAACUAUGGGAAACUGUAGCUGAUACCGCGUAGAAUCGGGAGAUGAAAGUGUGGGACCUUCGGGCCACAUGCCAUAGGAUGAGCCCAAGUGGGAUUAGGUAGUUGGUGAGGUAAAGGCUCACCAAGCCGACGAUCUCUAGCUGGUCUGAGAGGAUGACCAGCCACACUGGGACUGAGACACGGCCCAG
rnacentral:rRNA from 1 species